rnacentral:rRNA from 1 species
GAUGAACGCUAGCGAUAGGCUUAACACAUGCAAGUCGAGGGGCAGCGGGGGCAGCAAUGCCUGCCGGCGACCGGCGGACGGGUGAGUAACACGUAUGCAACCUGCCCAUAACUUGGGGAUAGCCUUCCGAAAGGGAGAUUAAUACCCGAUGAGACAGGGAUAUCACAUGAUAAUAUUUGUUAAAGAUUUAUCGGUUAUGGAUGGGCAUGCGCUGGAUUAGGUAGUUGGUGUAGGUAACGGCUCACCAAGCCUGCGAUCCAUAGGGGCACUGAGAGGUUUACCCCCCACACUGGUACUGAGACACGGACCAGACUCCCACGGGAGGCAGCAGUGAGGAAUAUUGGUCAAUGGUCGAGAGACUGAACCAGCCAAAUCGCGUGAAGGAAGACGGUAUUAUGUAUUGUAAACUUCUUUUGCAGGGGAGUAAAGUGAGGGAUGUAUCCUUUAUUGUAGGUACCUUGCGAAUAAGCAUCGGCUAACUCCGUGCCAGCAGCCGCGGUAAUACGGAGGAUGCGAGCGUUAUCCGGAUUUAUUGGGUUUAAAGGGUGCGUAGGCGGAACGGUCAGUCAGCGGUGAAAAGUACCUGCUUCACAGGUACACUGCCGUUGAAACUGCCGUCCUUGAGUGUAGACGAGGCAGGCGGAAUUCGUAGUGUAGCGGUGAAAUGCUUAGAUAUUACGAAGAACCCCGAUAGCGCAGGCAGCUUGCCAGGCUACCACUGACACUGAAGCACGAAAGUGUGGGAAUCAAACAGGAUUAGAUACCCUGGUAGUCCACACAGUAAACGAUGAUUACUCGCUGUUUGCGAUAUACGGCAAGCGGCUUAGCGAAAGCGAUAAGUAAUCCACCUGGGGAGUACGCCGGCAACGGUGAAACUCAAAGGAAUUGACGGGGGCCCGCACAAGCGGAGGAACAUGUGGUUUAAUUCGAUGAUACGCGAGGAACCUUACCCGGGCUCGAACGGCUGUUGAAUACAGAUGAAAGUUUGUAGUCGCAAGACAACAGUCGAGGUGCUGCAUGGUUGUCGUCAGCUCGUGCCGUGAGGUGUCGGCUUAAGUGCCAUAACGAGCGCAACCCUUACCGUUAGUUACCAGCAAGUCAAGUUGGGGACUCUGGCGGGACUGCCACCGUAAGGUGAGAGGAAGGUGGGGAUGACGUCAAAUCAGCACGGCCCUUACGUCCGGGGCGACACACGUGUUACAAUGGGGGGGACAAAGAGCAGCUACUUAGCGAUAAGAUGCCAAUCUCUAAACCCUCUCCCAGUUCGGAUCGAAGUCUGCAACCCGACUUCGUGAAGCGGAUUCGC